rnacentral:rRNA from 1 species
GAGGAAUAUUGGGCAAUGGGCGCAAGCCUGACCCAGCCAUGCCGCGUGAAGGAUGAAUGCCCUAUGGGUUGUAAACUUCUUUUUUACGGGAAGAAACUCCUGAACGUGUUCGGGAUUGACGGUACCGUAUGAAUAAGCAUCGGCUAACUCCGUGCCAGCAGCCGCGGUAAUACGGAGGAUGCAAGCGUUAUCCGGAUUUAUUGGGUUUAAAGGGUGCGUAGGCGGGAUAAUAAGUCAGUGGUGAAAGCCUGUAGCUUAACUAUAGAAAUGCCAUUGAUACUGUUGUUCUUGAGUACAGUUGAGGUAGGCGGAAUGUGUAAUGUAGCGGUGAAAUGCUUAGAUAUUACACAGAACACCGAUUGCGAAGGCAGCUUACUAAGCUGGUACUGACGCUGAGGCACGAAAGCGUGGGGAGCAAAC